AGGAAAUUUGCAUAGCUUUCAUUGAUAGCUUUAUAUCUUUUCACCUUUGCUUAACCUUUCGGGUUCUACGCUGAGACAACCAAUAUGAAUGAAAUUCCAUAGGUAAGGUCCCAUCAAAAUUUUCUAGGCAUGGAAGCAAAGUACUUGCCCACAUGGACCAUUUUGCUACCCAAGUGCUUAAACACCCUUUGCUCUUGCGGAGCAAAUAUUGCCUUGCCUUGAACAUAUCCAU
rnacentral:misc_RNA from 1 species